GACGAAGGUGGCAACCGUUGUUCGGAAUCACUGGGCAUAAAGCGCACGUAGGCGGCAAGAAUAGUCAGGUGUGAAAGCCCUCGGCCUAACCGAGGAAUUGCGCUUGAAACUGCCUUGCUUGAGGAUCGGAGGGGAGCGUGGAAUUCCUGGUGGAGCGGUGAAAUGCGUUGAUAUCAGGAGGAACACCGGCGGCGAAGGCGACGCUCUGGCCGAUUUCUGACGCUGAGGUGCGAAAGCCAGGGGAGCAAACGGG
rnacentral:rRNA from 1 species